rnacentral:rRNA from 1 species
CCGGUCCGCACUGGUGUGAUGGAUUCCUACCUUCUGAAUAACCAGCAUGUCAUUAAUUUGGUGCGUUGGGGAAGCAGGACUGUUACCUUGAAAAAAUUAGAGUGCUUAAAGCAGGCUAGUGCCUGAAUACAUUAGCAUGGAAUAAUGAAAUAGGACGGCAUGGUUCUAUUUUGUUGGUUUCUAGGAUCACCGUAAUGAUUAAUAGGGAUAGUUGGGGGCAUUAGUAUUCAAUUGUCAGAGGUGAAAUUCUUGGAUUUAUUGAAGACUAACUUCUGCGAAAGCAUUUGCCAAGGAUGUUUUCAUUAAUCAAGAACGAAAGUUAGGGGAUCGAAGACGAUCAGAUACCGUCGUAGUCUUAACCAUAAACUAUGCCGACUAGGGAUCGGACGAUGUUAAUUUUUUAAUGACUCGUUCGGCGCCUUACG